rnacentral:rRNA from 1 species
AUUGAACGCUGGCGGCAGGCCUAACACAUGCAAGUCGAGCGGAUGAAGGGAGCUUGCUCCUGGAUUCAGCGGCGGACGGGUGAGUAAUGCCUAGGAAUCUGCCUGGUAGUGGGGGAUAACGUCCGGAAACGGGCGCUAAUACCGCAUACGUCCUGAGGGAGAAAGUGGGGGAUCUUCGGACCUCACGCUAUCAGAUGAGCCUAGGUCGGAUUAGCUAGUUGGUGGGGUAAAGGCCUACCAAGGCGACGAUCCGUAACUGGUCUGAGAGGAUGAUCAGUCAAACUGGAACUGGAACACGGGCCAGAAUCCAAGGGGAGGCAGGAGGGGGGAAUAUUGGAAAAGGGGGAAAAGCCGAAACCAGCAAUGCCGGGGGUGGGAAGAAGGUUUUCAGUUUGAAAAGCAAUUUAAGUGGGGAGGAAGGGAAGAAAGUUAAAACCUUGCUGUUUUGACGUUACAAACAAAAUAAGCACCGGAAAACUUCGU